GACGAACGCUGGCGGCGUGCUUAACACAUGCAAGUCGAACGGAAAGGCCCUGCUUUUGUGGGGUGCUCGAGUGGCGAACGGGUGAGUAACACGUGAGUAACCUGCCCUUGACUUUGGGAUAACUUCAGGAAACUGGGGCUAAUACCGGAUAGGAGCUCCUGCUGCAUGGUGGGGGUUGGAAAGUUUCGGCGGUUGGGGAUGGACUCGCGGCUUAUCAGCUUGUUGGUGGGGUAGUGGCUUACCAAGGCUUUGACGGGUAGCCGGCCUGAGAGGGUGACCGGCCACAUUGGGACUGAGAUACGGCCCAGACCCCUACGGGAGGCAGCAGUGGGGAAUAUUGCACAAUGGGCGGAAGCCUGAUGCAGCAACGCCGCGUGCGGGAUGACGGCCUUCGGGUUGUAAACCGCUUUCGCCUGUGACGAAGCGUGAGUGACAGUAAUGGGUAAAGAAGCACCGGCUAACUACGUGCCAGCAGCCGCGGUGAUACGUAGGGUGCGAGCGUUGUCCGGAUUUAUUGGGCGUAAAGGGCUCGUAGGUGGUUGAUCGCGUCGGAAGUGUAAUCUUGGGGCUUAACCCUGAGCGUGCUUUCGAUACGGGUUGACUUGAGGAAGGUAGGGGAGAAUGGAAUUCCUGGUGGAGCGGUGGAAUGCGCAGAUAUCAGGAGGAACACCAGUGGCGAAGGCGGUUCUCUGGGCCUUUCCUGACGCUGAGGAGCGAAAGCGUGGGGAGCGAACAGGCUUAGAUACCCUGGUAGUCCACGCUGUAAACGGUGGGUACUAGGUGUGGGGUCCAUUCCACGGGUUCCGUGCCGUAGCUAACGCUUUAAGUACCCCGCCUGGGGAGUACGGCCGCAAGGCUAAAACUCAAAGGAAUUGACGGGGCCCCGCACAAGCGGCGGAGCAUGCGGAUUAAUUCGAUGCAACGCGUAGAACCUUACCUGGGUUUGACAUGGAUCGGGAGUGCUCAGAGAUGGGUGUGCCUCUUUUGGGGUCGGUUCACAGGUGGUGCAUGCCUGUCGUCAGCUCGUGUCGUGAGAUGUUGGGUUAAGUCCCGCAACGAGCGCAACCCUUGUUCACUGUUGCCAGCACGUUAUGGUGGGGACUCAGUGGAGACCGCCGGGGUCAACUCGGAGGAAGGUGGGGAUGACGUCAAGUCAUCAUGCCCCUUAUGUCCAGGGCUUCACGCAUGCUACAAUGGCUGGUACAGAGAGUGGCGAGCCUGUGAGGGUGAGCGAAUCUCGGAAAGCCGGUCUCAGUUCGGAUUGGGGUCUGCAACUCGACCUCAUGAAGUCGGAGUCGCUAGUAAUCGCAGACCAGCAACGCUGCGGUGAAUACGUUCCCGGG
rnacentral:rRNA from 1 species